CGGGUGAGUAACACGUAUGUAACCUACCUAUAACUGGGGAAUAGCCUUCCGAAAGGAAGAUUAACACCGCAUAAUAUCACGAGACGGCAUCGUCUUGUGAUCAAACCUCCGGGGGUUAUAGAUGGACAUGCGUAACAUUAGCUAGUUGGUGAGGUAACGGCUCACCAAGGCUACGAUGUUUAGGGGGUCUGAGAGGAUGAUCCCCCACACUGGUACUGAGACACGGACCAG
rnacentral:rRNA from 1 species